GACGAACGCUUGCGGCGUGCCUAAGAAAUGCAAGUCGAGCGGGGGAGAGGCUUCGGCCUCGAACCUAGCGGCGAACGGUCGCGUAACACGUAAGCAACCUGCCGAAAAGACCGGGACAACAUCUCGAAAGGGGUGCUAAUACCGGAUGUGGCCGUCUAGGGGCAUCCCUGGACGAUUAAACCGAGCAAUCGGCUUUUUGAGGGGCUUGCGGCCUAUCAGCUAGUUGGUGGGGUAACGCCUACCAAGGCGACGACGGGUAGCUGGUCUGAGAGGACGAUCAGCCGAACUGGGACUGAGAUACGGCCCAGACUCCUACGGGGGGCAGCAAUUAGGAAUCUUGCGCAAUGGGCGAAAGCCUGACGCAGCGACGCCGCGUGGAGGAGGAAGUCCU
rnacentral:rRNA from 1 species